rnacentral:rRNA from 1 species
GACAGGAGGCCUCAAGGCGUUUAGGUCGGGAAUCACUGGGCUUAAAGCGUGUGUAGGCAGGACGCCUAAGUGAUCUUGUGAAAUCCCCCGGCUCACCCGGGGAACUGCUGGGCAUACUGGGCGUCUUGGGCCAAACUGAGGGGCAACUAGGAACCGAAGCGGUGGAGCGGUGAAAUGCGUAGAUAUCGGCUUGGAACGCCCGAAGGUGAAACGAGGUGAGCUGGGGUUGUGGC